AAUGGGUGGUUAGGAUUAAAUCCUAUUAUUAUAAUCCAAUAUGGAUCCAAUAUGGGUGACCAAUUUUCACCUUUUGUUAGUUUUUUAAAAGGAAAACAAAAAACAAAAAACAAAAAAAAUCACUUCCCCUCCACGGAUGCUCCCUCUCUCUUACUUCUUCUUCUUUUAUUUUAUUUUUCUUAAAACACAAACAAACAACAUAAGGAUGUUGGUGUUUUGAUUAAUGAACACAAACCUCAAUUUUCCUCCUUAAUCCAACUUUUAAUUGAAGAAAUUUUUGGAAGACAAAUUUUUCUUCUCUACUAAGGGAUGCUUGUGAGUUAUUUUGUUGAUCAGGUUUGUGAUAAACUGCACUCUAGUAAAUCGUACUGAUCUGUGAUAGGUGGCACCUCGGUAAUUAACAUUGGUCUGUGAGAGGCGGUACAUUUACGAUUUACUCCCCUCAAUGAGGGUUUGAAAAGUCUGGAAUCAUGUGCAUUGACAUAUAAGCAUUGCAUUAAGGUGCUUGACACGUGAGUCAUGUUUGCUAUAUGAUAAUAUUUAUAUGCAUGUUUGUUUAUCAAUUGAUGUCAUGUCAUGUUAUGCUUCUGUCCUUUGUAUUUUUGUAUGUAUGUUGUUUUUAGAUCGUGACCCUCUACUAUUAUUGUGGGUCGGGCUUACGUCUCAGGUUUUUAGAGUUUUGAAUCGUACGGGAAUUGCCAUAACGUCGAUGAUGUGAUUGAGCGGUGAUUUGGAUUGGCAGUCGAAUGCAAUGAGGCUUGAUGCCACCUGUGAAUCCUCAAUACCCUAUCAUCCCUAUUUAGAGUUAAUAAUUAGCUUAGGGUUUUAUUUAAGAAUUUUAUUUAUUCUCCCUUCCUUAUUGAAGUGUUUGUUUGCGUAAUGGAAUUUAUGUAUUUGAAAUAAUCGUGAUUUCUUUUGGUCAAUGUGAAUUGUUCAGUUGUAGGUAAGUCCGUUGUGUCGAAAUCAUUUUAUAUAAUGAA